rnacentral:snRNA from 1 species
GUCGCUUCUCGGCCUUUUGGCUAAGAUCAAGUGUAGUAUCUGUUCUUAUCAAGUGUGAGAAGCCUCAAGAUGACUUGAGGAAGGAAAAUUACUGGAAAGUUGGUUUUGUAGGCAUGAUCCUCACCAAAUAAGAAAUGAGGGGGGCAAAAGCAUUCUUCUGAGUUGAAGAACACUUGAUUUUCCUAUUCAGAAAAAUUGA